rnacentral:rRNA from 1 species
CACAUGCAAGUCGAACGGCAGCGCGAGAGAGCUUGCUCUCUUGGCGGCGAGUGGCGGACGGGUGAGUAAUAUAUCGGAACGUGCCCAGUAGCGGGGGAUAACUACUCGAAAGAGUGGCUAAUACCGCAUACGCCCUACGGGGGAAAGGGGGGGAUCGCAAGACCUCUCACUAUUGGAGCGGCCGAUAUCGGAUUAGCUAGUUGGUGGGGUAAAGGCUCACCAAGGCAACGAUCCGUAGCUGGUUUGAGAGGACGACCAGCCACACUGGGACUGAGACACGGCCCAGACUCCUACGGGAGGCAGCAGUGGGGAAUUUUGGACAAUGGGGGAAACCCUGAUCCAGCCAUCCCGCGUGUAUGAUGAAGGCCUUCGGGUUGUAAAGUACUUUUGGCAGAGAAGAAAAGGUAUCCCCUAAUACGGGAUACUGCUGACGGUAUCUGCAGAAUAAGCACCGGCUAACUACGUGCCAGCAGCCGCGGUAAUACGUAGGGUGCAAGCGUUAAUCGGAAUUACUGGGCGUAAAGCGUGUGUAGGCGGUUCGGAAAGAAAGAUGUGAAAUCCCAGGGCUCAACCUUGGAACUGCAUUUUUAACUGCCGAGCUAGAGUAUGUCAGAGGGGGGUAGAAUUCCACGUGUAGCAGUGAAAUGCGUAGAUAUGUGGAGGAAUACCGAUGGCGAAGGCAGCCCCCUGGGAUAAUACUGACGCUCAGACACGAAAGCGUGGGGGAGCAAACAGGAUUAGAUACCCUGGUAGUCCACGCCCUAAACGAUGUCAACUAGCUGUUGGGGCCGUUAGGCCUUAGUAGCGCAGCUAACGCGUGAAGUUGACCGCCUGGGGAGUACGGUCGCAAGAUUAAAACUCAAAGGAAUUGACGGGGACCCGCACAAGCGGUGGAUGAUGUGGAUUAAUUCGAUGCAACGCGAAAAACCUUACCUACCCUUGACAUGUCUGGAAAGCCGAAGAGAUUUGGCCGUGCUCGCAAGAGAACCGGAACACAGGUGCUGCAUGGCUGUCGUCAGCUCGUGUCGUGAGAUGUUGGGUUAAGUCCCGCAACGAGCGCAACCCUUGUCAUUAGUUGCUACGCAAGAGCACUCUAAUGAGACUGCCGGUGACAAACCGGAGGAAGGUGGGGAUGACGUCAAGUCCUCAUGGCCCUUAUGGGUAGGGCUUCACACGUCAUACAAUGGUCGGGACAGAGGGUCGCCAACCCGCGAGGGGGAGCCAAUCUCAGAAACCCGAUCGUAGUCCGGAUCGCAGUCUGCAACUCGACUGCGUGAAGUCGGAAUCGCUAGUAAUCGCGGAUCAGAAUGUCGCGGUGAAUACGUUCCCGGGUCUUGUACACACCGCCCGUCACACCAUGGGAGUGGGUUUCACCAGAAGUAGGUAGCCUAACCGUAAGGAGGGCGC